rnacentral:rRNA from 1 species
UACGUAGGGUGCGAGCGUUAAUCGGAAUUACUGGGCGUAAAGCGUGCGCAGGCGGUUCGUUAUGUCCGUUGUGAAAGCCCCGGGCUCAACCUGGGAAUGGCAAUGGAAACUGGCGAGCUAGAGUGUGGCAGAGGGGGGUGGAAUUCCGCGUGUAGCAGUGAAAUGCGCAGAUAUCGGGAGGAACACCUAUGGCGAAGGCAGCUCGCUGGGACGUUACUGACGCUGAGACGCGAAAGCGUGGGGAGCAAACAGG